ACUUCAUCAGAGCCCUUCUACCCUAUCAUGUGAUGUUUUCUCUUUAAACAGAAUAGGAAUGAUCUGUCUUUGCAACUUGUUGACCUAACCCAAGCUUUUGGCUUGACUGAAAGGAUUCCCUGAAACUAAAGGGCUGUUCUUUGAAGGGAAUCUCUUCCUAACCACGUUCCUUUAAGGGUUCACUUUUAAGGAUCCUACCUCUCCUGAUUAUUUUCACUUUGGUACACCAUCAAAGGGGAGGAGUCGGUGAAAGGAAAUGAAACUGAAACGUGGACCUGGGCAUAGCUGAUCGAAGGUUCUUCAUUUAAGGCUGGAAGACUGUCCCUCAGCAGAGAUGCAUAUGCUAGAAUACCAUCAUCUGGCCACCUCGGGAGAUGCUGAGACCACCCACUCUGCCUUUGCUCAAAUUUCACGCUCACCCAUGAACCUCUGGUCACAUGUGAAUUCCUAGGUGUCUGUGUUUCCCCACCAGGGUACAAUUCCUGGUAUACAAUAACCACUAAAUUGGUGCAUGGAUGAAGGAAAGAAGGAAGGAAAAAAGAAGAAGGCGGGGGGAGGGAUGUGGGAGAGGAAGAUGACUCUACCCUAAGUAGGCACAACAUGAAUUUAAGAAGACUGGGGAAAAAAAGCCUCCUCCAGACUCGGCUGGUGAUUUUGCUGUAUCUGCAUGAAGACUGGAAGCUCCUGCACCGGAAGUACAGUGGCUGCCACUAGCUGAGGCGAGAGAUCCCCUUUCUGAAGGGACAAAGGAGAGGCUCUAAUGUGGGAAGAGGAGGGAAUGUUCCCUUCUCCGUCUCUGAAAAAAGAAUUUGCUGGUGCUGUUUUGAAUGUAGACCAGAUAAUCUACCACAGUGAUUAGAAAAACAAAUCUUCCCUUCUGCAUUGAAAAUAAAAAUACAUGCAUCUGUGAUGCCUA